rnacentral:lncRNA from 1 species
GUGUCUUUUGAAGUUAUAUUUUCAAUAUAGAGUUUUUAUGUGAGUUUACCCCCUGGUUUGGCCCAGGGGGUGACAUUCAAGAUUCGAGUUUAUUCUCGGAUUGACCCGUUCUUCUUUGUUUGAUUCCGCCAAACAAAGAUUAAUUCUUAUGUUCAUAGAACGAUACAUUUAUUUUAUAAGAGUUAAUCAUUGAAGAAAUCUCACUCUCACUGUCUCUAUUUUUAUUCUUUGAAUGUAUAUAUACUUCACAAACACCUGUCUCUACGAUCGAAAAAAGUUGAAUCAAUCAAAUAGGAUCAGAAAAGGGGACCAACAACGUUAGAACCAAAUCUGAACCAUCCAACACUUCGAAUAGGGUUUAGAGCUCAAAAGGGGUUAGAACCAGAUCCCAACCAUCUUCGGCAACGACUAGUGAUUUGGGUUUAGAGGGUCAUGCUUGUAAAUCGAUUGUGCAGCGGAAGGUCCACCAUUAACGCCUGCAAAGCGAACACAUCUGGCUUCAUUUGACAGUUUGGUGGCGGUGGCUAAGCAAACCGGUGGUCAGCGACGGUGAAGAAGUAAGAGAUGGUUGAUAUAAAAGAAUGUGAUUAAUGAAUAAUUAAAUCCUUAUUUGUAAAGUUAUUAUGAAAAUUGCUUCUGAUUAUAU